rnacentral:rRNA from 1 species
UACGGGAGGCAGCAGUAGGGAAUCUUCCGCAAUGGACGAAAGUCUGACGGAGCAACGCCGCGUGAACGAUGAAGGCUUUCGGGUCGUAAAGUUCUGUUGUUAGGGAAGAACAAGUACCAGAGUAACUGCUGGUACCUUGACGGUACCUAACCAGAAAGCCACGGCUAACUACGUGCCAGCAGCCGCGGUAAUACGUAGGUGGCAAGCGUUGUCCGGAAUUAUUGGGCGUAAAGCGCGCGCAGGUGGUUCUUUAAGUCUGAUGUGAAAGCCCACGGCUCAACCGUGGAGGGUCAUUGGAAACUGGGGAACUUGAGUGCAGAAGAGGAAAGUGGAAUUCCACGUGUAGCGGUGAAAUGCGUAGAGAUGUGGAGGAACACCGAGUGGCGAAGGCGACUUUUCUGGUCUGUAACUGACACUGAGGCGCGAAAGCGUGGGGAGCGAACAGGGAUUAGAUA